CGUCGUGAGACAGUUCGGUCCCUAUCUGCCGUGGGCGUUGGAGAAUUGAGGGAAGCUGCUCCUAGUACGAGAGGACCGGAGUGGACGAACCUCUGGUGUUCCGGUUGUGUCGCCAGACGCAUUGCCGGGUAGCUACGUUCGGACGGGAUAACCGCUGAAAGCAUCUAAGCGGGAAGCCCCUCCCAAGAAUAGUUCUCCCUGUCCCUUGAGGACUCUGAAGAGCCGUCCAAGACUAGGACGUUGAUAGGCUGGGUGUGGAAGCGCUGUAAAGCGUUGAGCUAACCAGUACUAAUUGCUCGUGAGGCUUGACCAU
rnacentral:rRNA from 1 species